AUUGCAUCAUACAUAUAUGUCAACACAAAAAAAACUCAAAAUGGAUUAAAGAUUAAGCAGAACAGCUGACCCAAAAUGGCUUCGAAGAAAACACACAGGAUAAACAUCAUGACAUUCUCUUGACAAUGAUUUAUUUGAUACCAAAGCAAAAUCACAGAGAACCUUGGCAGACAAGAGGGACUGCAUCAAACUAGAAAGGGGGCAAAUCAAACAGUAGCAGGGUGAGAAGGCAGUCUAUGAAAUGGGAGAUAUUACAUUAAAAAUAUUGAAAAGGAGUUAAUAUCCAAAAUACAGGAGGGACUCCUUAACAUCAAGAGCAAAAAUCACAAUUAUAAUCAUAACAGUAAGCACAUCACCUGAUUAAAAUUUGGGUCAAGCAUGUAAAUAUCCAUUUCGCUAUUAAGGUUGAAAAAAUGUCCAUCCAGCAUAUGAAUGGUGUUCAUCAUCACUAAUCAUCAGAGUAUUCCACCCCCGAUCCACUGAGAUAUCACCUCACAACUGAUAGCAAGGCUAUUAUAAAAUAAGGCAAACACAACGAGAACAUCUCAAGUGUUGCUGAGGAUGUGGAGAACAGGCAAUCCUACAAUUCACUUGAUGGGAGUGCAACAUAGUGUAGCUACUAUGGAAAACUGUGGUGAAAUAACCCACUAAACUGAGUUCCUAAUCUGCUCCCAUACAGUUGACUUCAUGUCCAGCUGAGUGUGAGGAAGGUCUGGGCCUCAUGUUCUGUGGAGAGGAGGUGCAGAGACAGGUGGAUCCAGUGGAUGAUUCCUUAACUCCUUCAGUAGAAUGGACCCCUGGCUGACCGUUUUGAACGUGUAUAUACUGAGAAUCCUUGAGAGAAAGUCGCGGAGUUGAUGAAGAUGCUGUAGGGUUUCGACAACCACAAGGGUCUUUCCUCAUGGUCUCUCUUCAUGGGCAUCAAAGGAAAACCUUAAGGAAAGUAAAAGGAGAGAGGAGCUGCUCAAAUGUAUUAAAUUUAGAUCACUUGAA